AUUGAACGCUGGCGGCAGGCUUAACACAUGCAAGUCGAACGAGUGGCGGACGGGUGAGUAAUGCUUGGGAAUCUGGCUUAUGGAGGGGGAUAACGACGGGAAACUGUCGCUAAUACCGCGUACCAUAGGAUGAGCCCAAGUGGGAUUAGGUAGUUGGUGGGGGAAUGGCUCACCUAGGCAACGAUCCCUAGCUGGUCUGAGAGGAUGACCAGCCACACUGGAACUGAGACACGGUCCAGACUCCUACGGGAGGCAGCAGUGGGGAAUAUUGCACAAUGGGCGAAAGCCUGAUGCAGUCAUGCCGCGUGUGUGAAGAAGGCCUUCGGGUUGUAAAGUUCUUUCGGUGACGAGGCGUUAAUCACAGAAGAAGCACCGGCUAACUCCGUGCCAGCAGCCGCGGUAAUAC
rnacentral:rRNA from 1 species